AUCAACAGGAAGAGCGCGUUUAGCAGAAAGUGAAGCUCGUCUGCUUAGGGGUGAAAGCUGCUCUUACUCUCUAUACAAUGAAGAGACUGCUGAUUCUUUUCUGUGUUUGUGCUCUUGUCCUGUCGUCGGUCUGGGCAAACGAGGGGAAAGAAGCACCUGCCACAAGCAAACAGGAAACAUCGACAGCUUCUAAAAUUACCAAGGAUCCCAUGAGCUCAGCUUGUGCUGUAAUGGUAAAUGUGGCCUUUACUCUCAUGCCGCUUGUUUUCCAGAGACUCUUCUAGGCACUCCAUAUGUAGUUCCUAUAUACGUGCUGCAGAGAGAUCCAUCUGUGGGGAGUUUCUCAUACUGGGAUGACCCCAGUCUGCAAGAUGCUGCAAACCAUUAAGUACACAGCACUGUAUUGUAAAAUGCAAAUUUCCAUGCAUGUUAUUGGUGUUACAUUAGUCUUGAAAACCAUGUCAAUUUUGAGAAAGUUUGGCAUUGAGUCACCGUCAUAAAGUUGGUAAUUGGGGUUACUAUCCCCACUUUCUUUUUGCUUUGGAGGUGAUUGCAAUACCUCUUCCAAUAAAUGAUUCUUCUGCUGAA